UACGUAGGGUGCGAGCGUUAAUCGGAAUUACUGGGCGUAAAGCGUGCGUAGUCGGUUAUUUAAGUCGGGUGUGAAAGCCCCGGGCUCAACCUGGGAAUUGCAUUCGAUACUGGAUAGCUAGAGUUCGGCAGAGGGAAGCGGAAUUUCCGGUGUAGCGGUGAAAUGCGUAGAUAUCGGAAGGAACAUCAGUGGCGAAAGCGGCUUCCUGGACCAGAACUGACGAUCAGGCACGAAAGCGUGGGGAGCAAACAGG
rnacentral:rRNA from 1 species